GGGUUGUGAGGUUAAGCGACCAAGCGUACACGGUGGAUGCCCUGGCAGUCAGAGGCGAUGAAGGACGUGCUAAUCUGCGAAAAGCGCCGGCGAGGUGAUAUGAACCCUUGACCCGGCGAUGUCCGAAUGGGGAAACCCAGUGUGACUCGUCACACUAUCAUUAACUGAAUCCAUAGGUUAAUGAGGCGAACCGGGGGAACUGAAACAUCUAAGUACCCCGAGGAAAAGAAAUCAACCGAGAUUCCCCCAGUAGCGGCGAGCGAACGGGGAGGAGCCCAGAGCCUGAAUCAGCAGGUGUGUU
rnacentral:rRNA from 1 species